rnacentral:rRNA from 1 species
UACGAGGGGGGCAAGCGUUGUUCGGAAUUAUUGGGCGUAAAGGGCGCGUAGGCGGUGCGGUAAGUCACCUGUGAAACCUCUAGGCUUAACCUAGAGCCUGCAGGCGAAACUGCCGUGCUGGAGUGUGGGAGAGGUGCGUGGAAUUCCCGGUGUAGCGGUGAAAUGCGUAGAUAUCGGGGAGGAACACCUGUGGCGAAAGCGGCGCACUGGACCACAACUGACGCUGAUGCGCGAAAAGCUAGGGGAGCAAAACAGG